rnacentral:lncRNA from 1 species
UUGUGGUGGGGAUCGGAGUGUGUACCUUCGAGGGGGCACAACGCAAGAAGUGCACCCCAGAGGGCACAAUCGAGUCUCCGGCUCUCUUUUUUGUACCUUUCUCUCAGGUCGCUGUCCUUCGUUCCUCUUCGACGAGGACAAGCCCCCCCCCUAUCCAGCCUCUCUUCGUUUCACUUUUCCUCCUUUUGAAAGGCGAAGCUAGAUAUGUAAAAUAAGUAGUUGCCGGCCCGAGUGACAUCUAGGGGACGCCUACCAUCAUGGAGCCUGCAGUCUCCGUCUCCAGUAGGGCCGGCGGAUGGCCAUGGCGGGACCCACGUACGUUCUCAUCUCCCAUUGGCCUGAACUCUGGCUGCCCCCUAAAUCUCUCUCCGUCGCCAUCCUCCAUUGAUCUGCUUCCCUCUGUGCCGAAGAUUUGCAGAUCGGUGGGACUGUAGACAGAUUAGCUUCCCUCUGGAUGUUUCGCCGGGCGGCGUCCAGAGAAUCAACCGCACAUGCUGCAUCAUCCAUGGUGGACGUCCCCUCUCUUCCGGAGUUUCGUUCAGACUCCACUGGGCCAGUCUGGGAGUGAUUAAAAUGGAGGUGAAUCGACUUGGUGCAGCCAGAGGGGGAGUAGUGUGUGCACCUUGCUUCAUUUUAAUCACUCCCAGGCGGCUGAUGAGUGCGGCUGAGUUAACGUGACAUAAAAAGCCCUGCACAGUGUGAAAUGCGAGGAUAACAGCUUGAGGAAUUCACAAGAAGGCGGCACGCCGAUAGGAAACCCGCAUCCUUGCCACUGAUGCGUGGGGGGAUCAGGUCGGGUUUAAAACUGUGCUCGUUCUUGCGGACAUGAUGGGCAUGCAGAGGAC